rnacentral:rRNA from 1 species
GGGUCGCGUCCUAUCAGCUUGAUGGCGGGGUAACGGCCCACCAUGGCUUCGACGGGUAGCCGCCCUGAGAGGGCGACCGGCCACAUUGGGACUGAGAUACGGCCCAGACUCCUACGGGAGGCAGCAGUGGGGAAUAUUGCACAAUGGGCGCAAGCCUGAUGCAGCGACGCCGCGUGCGGGAUGACGGCCUUCGGGUUGUAAACCGCUUUUGACUGGGAGCAAGCCCUUCGGGGUGAGUGUACCUUUCGAAUAAGCACCGGCUAACUACGUGCCAGCAGCCGCGGUAAUACGUAGGGUGCAAGCGUUAUCCGGAAUUAUUGGGCGUAAAGGGCUCGUAGGCGGUUCGUCGCGUCCGGUGUGAAAGUCCAUCGCUUAACGGUGGAUCCGCGCCGGGUACGGGCGGG